rnacentral:rRNA from 1 species
CCUACGGGAGGCAGCAGUGAGGAAUAUUGGUCAAUGGGCGCGAGCCUGAACCAGCCAAGUCGCGUGAGGGAAGACGGUCCUAUGUAUUGUAAACCUCUUUUGUCGGGGAGCAAAAGACGCCACGCGUGGCGUUCCGAGAGUACCCGAAGAAAAAGCAUCGGCUAACUCCGUGCCAGCAGCCGCGGUAAUACGGAGGAUGCGAGCGUUAUCCGGAUUUAUUGGGUUUAAAGGGUGCGCAGGCGGAAGAUCAAGUCAGCGGUAAAAUUGAGGGGCUCAACCUCUUCGAGCCGUUGAAACUGGGAUUCUUGAGUGAGUGAGAAGUAUGCGGAAUGCGUGGUGUAGCGGUGAAAUGCAUAGAUAUCACGCAGAACUCCGAUUGCGAAGGCAGCAUACCGGCGCUCAACUGACGCUCAUGCACGAAAGUGUGGGUAUCGAACAGGAUUAGAUACCCUUGUAGUC